rnacentral:rRNA from 1 species
GUAGACGCUAUACUCUAAGAUUAAACCCUGCAUGUUUAUUGAAUAUAAAGAAAAGACGAACAGCUCAGUAACUCUUAUUUAAUUUGAUGUAUUAGGAUUCUAACUAUGUUAAAUUAUAGGUAACAAUAAUACAAUAAGAAUAAGAUCUAUCAGUUAGUUGUUAAGGUAAUGGCUUAACAAGACUAUGACGGAUAACGGUAUUACUUUGUAAUAUUCCGGAGAAGGAGCCUGAGAGAUUGCUACUAAGUCUAAGGAUUGCAGCAGGGGCGAAACUUGACCUAUGAUAUUAUAUUGAGGCAGUUAUGAGUAGUAUUUUAUAAUUAUUGUAGUAUUGUAAGUACAUAUUACAAGGUAAAUCGGAGGGCAAAUCGAGUGCCAGCAGCCGCGGUAAUACUUGUUCCGAUAGUGUGUAUGAUGAUUGAUGCAGUUAAAAAGUCUGUAGUUUAUUUAUAAUAAGCAUUGUAAAGUAUACUGUAUGGUUAGGAGAGAGAUGAAAUGUGAUAACCCUAACUGGAUGAACAGAAGCGAAAGCUGUAUACUUAAAUGUGUUAUUAGAACAAGGACGUAAGCUAGAGGAUCGAAGAUGAUUAGAUACCAUUGUAGUUCUAGCAGUAAACUAUGUUGAAUCAUAGAUAUAUUUUGAUAUAUAUUUAUGUAGAGAAAUUAAGAUUAUAUUGACUCUGGGGAUAGUAUGAUCGCAAGAUUGAAAAUUAAAGAAAUUGACGGAAGAAUACCACAAGGAGUGGAUUGUGCGGCUUAAUUUGACUCAACGCGGGGUAAUUUACCAGGUAUAACAUGAUAUAAUAUUUUAUCAUGAUAGUGGUGCAUGGCCGUUUCCAAUGGAUGCUGUGAAGUAAUGAUUAAUUUCAACAAGAUGUGAGACCCUCAUUUAGACAGAUGUAGUGAUACAUAUGAAGGAGAGGAUUAAAACAGGUCCGUUAUGCCGUAAGAUAAUCUGGGUUGCACGCGCAAUACAAUAAUAUUUGAUAUUGUAAGGGGUAAUAUAAUGUAAGAUAUAUUUGAACAUGGAAUUGCUAGUAAAUUUUAUUUAAUAAGUAGAAUUGAAUGAGUCCCUGUUCUUUGUACACACCGCCCGUCGCUAUCUAAGAUGGUAUUAUCUAUGAACAAAUUUAUAAAGUGAAUAGAUAGUACUAGAUCUGAUAU